GUUUGUCACAAACAAGUUCUCAAGUCCAUUGCCCCCAGGACAGAAUGCAGAGUGACCAGUUCAAUGGAAUCCUGGUUUAACUCAAUAACCCCGCGUGAAGAGAAGCAACAGUAUAAAGGACGGAGACAGAGACACAGAAAGCACAUCUUCCUGAGAGACAUCACAGACCUCCAUCCUCAGAGCUCCAUCUCCCUUCUUCUCCACCCGACCUCCACAAGAGUCUCUCCACCUGCUGCUGCCUCUUCUCCACCAUGAAGACAGGUGCUCUGCUCCUCCUGCUGGCAGUUGCUGCCAGCCAGGUGGACGUCUCCAUGUCUCAACAAAUGACAUUUGGUAUUUCUGGGGGAGAGUUUGAACUGAGCUUGUGUCCCAUCACCUUCUAUGGACGCACAUACUCAUGGGUGU